rnacentral:lncRNA from 1 species
UAAAACAUUCUUGUACUGUAUGUACAUAGAUUAUCAAAAACACUUAUUAAUAUGACAUUGCACUUGAACGAUUAUCAGCUUUUGGGGUCAGUCACAGUCACAGUCACAGUCACAGUCCCAAUUCCAGUCCAGUCCCCCCUGCCAUGCGCGCUGAUAACAGCUGAUAAAUCCCGGCCAGCUUUCACCCAUCACCAGAGUAGGACUGAUCCAAGUGGGCAACUGUCAACCGUCAAUUCGUCGGCCAUUAUGCAAGCCAA